CAGCUGUACAAAGGAUGUUUCAUAGAAAAAAAAAGUAUCCUGUUCUUUUUUUUUUUUUUUUUACUGCUCUGCACUGCCAGAUAGGGAUUUGAUUAUAGGAUGAAUCAAGAUUGCUGCUAUGUUGACUAAUAAAAAUUAUUUGACAGUUUUCAUCUAUUCUAAUCUGAAACAUUUAUUUGCAAAGAGUUAAUUUAUUGGAGGUAACAUCUGAACUGCAUUUAUGUCAGUAACAUGAAGAUCUUUGUUCACUAAAGAAUAUAUUUUCAGGAAAUUGAGCAUGAAGACUUUUCUCAGGUAUCUUUGCCUAAUCUGAAAUGUGGGCAACGCUAUAUGUCUUUCAGAGAGAUCUCAAGCCUUGUUAGUGCAUGUUACAUGUUGGCCUCAUUUUUUUUUUAUAAUCUAAAACGUUAUUUCAAUUACUACUAUAUAUCUGGCAGUUUUCAUAAGAGCUGAAAAUUUUUUUUAUUUACUAUUAAACAUGUUUGUCUAGACUAGUGAGAUUUACUUUCUCUUUCUCAAAGAAAGGGCUCUACAUGACAUGAAUCUAUCUACAAAUGAUUUUUUCUUAAUACCAUACUAGUCUAUAAUAUUUCUUGAGUUGGCAGUCAGGUCUGAAUUAAAAUUUAAAAUAUAUCUGAAUGUUCACUUUUGAAAAUCUUUUUUCAAGCACUUGAUAGGUUGAAAUCAAUGCCUACUUCCAGUUGUUUUUCUAUCGCUGCAAACACUGCAGUUUUAUUGCUUUUUCUUUUGAAAAACAUACAAAUUUGGUCUCAUGUUUAGUCACUGGUUGUGGUCUAAUAAUGACUGUCUGCCCCUAGCUCAACAGUGAUGAAAGCUAGACUCACUUUGAUCUUCGACUAAUUGGAAUGUUUCUUUCUAAACUGGAUACAAUUUUAUUGGUUUCUUUGAACAGAAAAAAAACUAAAACUAAAAAAGGAAUAAGAACAACUAAAAACUGAAUCUGGCUAAGUCAAGAAGAAAUAGCAAAAUUAAAACAAAAAUUAAUAAUUAAAAAAAAUUAAUUUAAUGAUUCACAAAAAAAAUUUAAAUCACAAAAAAGGAUUGUUUGAAAGGGACAAAAUCAUUAAGGCAUUCAAUGUGAUAAACUCCUCCUUAAAGAAUUAGAAAACAUUGAUGGGUCCCUUAAAAAAGAUAAAAAGAACUUUUGUAAUAACUCCUUUGAUAUUUUAUGAUUGCAUUUCCCACAAUGUCCCCUUUAAACAUCCCUUCUGUUAUAAAUAGUUUAUCACAUAGAAUGGGGAUCCUUAUUGAUUCUGUCCCUAACAGAAGUUCAGUAGAAAAUUGUGUUAGGGAACUUGGUGUUAUAUUGGGGAUGCUUGGCUUCCAAACCCAUGGUCCUGGGUUUGAAUCUCAGUGAAGACUGGGAUUUUGAAUUUCAGUAUUUUUUUUUGCAGCACCCCUGAGUCCACCCAACUCAAAUGGGUACCUGAUAGUAAAGGCGGGCAUUCUUUGUGCUGUCCUCAUGACAACCUGCUCAUUAAACCGUUGAGCAAAGAAACAGAUGACUUAUACAUCAUCUGUCUUAUAGAUCUUAAGGGCUGAAAGGGGAAAUUUACUUGGUGCUAUAUCAGAUCUCCAAGCUGUUAAAGUUUUCAUGGCUACACCAGGCCUAACUCUUGGGUUUGAUGCCACAAUCCAAGAGGGUGCACAUGUCAACUCAAAGCAUCUCACCACCAAUUCUAAUACUUUAAAUGACUGAGUGGUGGGGCAGCCGAGGACUAUUGGAAUCACAUAAGCACUUGAUAACUUUGCAGACGUGUACUCUAAUUUUCCUAAGGCAGAUUUACAUGAGUGCUGAGAUAAAAUUAUACCAAAUAUUUCAAACACAAUGUCUGACUAGGGUCGUGUAAAUCAUGCCACUGUUGUGCGAUUGACUGAGUUGUGGGACAAAUCCGUGACUGAGCUUAAUUGCCACUUGCACCAACUUGAUAGCAUUACUAAAGGCUGCACGGAGGCACUUAAGAGUUAAGACCCUCCAGGCAGAACAAGCUUAACUUUUUGGUCAUGACUGCUUGGCAGGUAACAUUGUCUUGCAGCUAACAAAAAUGUGUUACUAAAUGGGAACAGGCAAUCCUAAAGCUUGUGAGUCUUAUUCCAGGAUAUAGGGGUAACUCAAACUGUUUCCACAUAUAAUUCCUUACUUUUGGAAUAUCGAUCCUUCAUUUCGACCAAAUUUUAGAUUUUGGGAUUUGCCUCUGCCCUUCCUUGUGGAGGUCUGACAGCUGAAUGACAUCCAACUUUAAACUACAAAUAAAUUAAUUUGUCAAUGGGUCUAAUAAGAAAACUGUUGACAGGCCCUUGUAUGAGAAAACUUGAAACAUUGCAAGAUGAUGUGAGAAAUAUUAUUAUUAGGGCAUUUCUUCUUCUAUUUCUAGACAGCUUUUUGCUGCAUUAUGAGGGCAUCACAGUCAUGAAGAGUUCUAGCCCAAGUAAAUGAAUGUUAAAAAAAAUCCUUUCAGUAUUUUUGCAAAGAGCUUAGACUUCUUAAAUGAUGGCCUUGAUGCCAAAGACCCUGUACUGCAUGUUCUUUUGCUCUGCCCUCAAGAUUUGCAAGCUAAGUGAAUGAUUGCCUGUCUUCUUAUGUGUCUGUUAUCCAGUGGCAGUAUGAAAGUUUUCUUAAUAUGGAUGAUUCUGAGCGAAUGAAGAUUGAAGCAAAAUCUGUGAGGCCACAUAAUAUAAACGCAUGUUUAAUACAGAAAUAAAAAGUCCAACUGUGUUGUCUUUUCAAAAAAGAACAAAACUGUGGCCUAUAUAGAUUCUUUGAUUGAAUUAACUCUGAAAGAAAGUGUUGAAUGCGCCAUAGGUAUUGAACGCAUUACAAGGCAGGAUAAUAAAAUGUGGUGUGAAUUGAUUCUUAGGAGGGCAGAAUAAAAGACCAGAGACAGUAAAAAAAAGAGGAAACAGAUUGAGAACUUUCUUAGAACAGACUUUGCCAGGAUUAGGAGAGAGAGGAAAGUUGUGACCAAAGAGACUUUGACUGAGGUAAUGGACAUUUAUCUGGGAAUACUUUUGAGAGGUUGAUUUGUCAUUACUGGUUUGAUGACGGUGCGCAUGUACCAUAUCUUCAUGAAGUAAGAACAGAAAGAAAAUAAAGCUGCCUUUAACAUAGAUAUAUGUGUGUCCUACUGGUCGAUUGAAGAGGAUGAAAGUGACAGUGUUGUGGCAUGAAUAAAUAUGAAUUAACUUGAGACAUUCUAUUCAAAGACCUGGCUUUACUGUAAAUUAUAAGACUGGACACUAGAUACGAUUGACAUCAUGUUUUUUUUUCUACCCAUUGUCAAUGAUUGUGCAAUUUGACAUCAGUAUUGGAACUUUUUUGAAUUGUGUGACUAACAAGUAUUUAGGUAUCUUUUUUACUCACUUUCUAUAACUCACUUUCGCAAAAGGAAUUAGAGUACAUUCAAUAUAUUGUGAUUUUUUAGUUCUCAGUGCUGCUCUUCUCUUUGCCAGUUUCAGUUAAACCCCCAAAUUGAAAUAUUAACUAAUCUGUCACUAUUUAAGUGUCCAUAUGUUUGGAUAGAUCUUUUAAUGGUAAGAAAAAUAUAUUAAAUAAAUUUGUUUUACCUUAACUCUUGGAAACUGUUAAACAGACUUGUUUUAUAAAAUUUGUUGGAAAUUGAAUGUACCACAAGAUAAUUUAAAUUUAUACUUUAGUGUUAUAGUCACUGAAAAAAAAUCAAUAUCAGAGAUGAAAAAAAAGAUUUCUUUAAAAAUUAUCUUACCCAAGAAAAAAAGAAUAUCCCUACAGUUUCUUAUCUUAUAUAAUACAGAAAAGAAGAUGAUUACGUCCUACAGGUUUAGUCAUGCACGUUAAAUGAACUAAAUUCUGCCAAGUCACUGGUUUUCUUGGCUGGCUCAGGCAACCCAUUCCAUGCUCUAAUAGCGCUAGGGAAGAAAGAGCAUUUGUACAAAUUUGUCCUAGCAUAUGGAACAAGGAAUAUGCCUUUAUCUUUGUAUCUUUCUGAGUAUUUUAUUAAAUUUUGUUUUUGUAUUUGAAGAUUAUGGUUCAGUGUUUUAUGUAUAAUUGCUACUUUACUUUUAAGUCUUCUAUCCUGAAGGCUUUCUAAAUUUAGUGAUUUUACUAAAGGUGUUACUCUAGUCAAAUGUGAAUAUUCGUUUGUUAUGAAUCUCACUGCUCUGUUUUGUGUCUGUUCCAGUUUCUUAAUGUUUUCUUGAGUUGAGGGGUCCCAAACAGAAGAUGCAUAUUCUAUUAUUGGGCUAACCAAGGUUAAAUAACAUUUUAGUUUUAGGUUCUAAUUUGAUUUAUAGAAAUUUCUUUUAAUAAACCAUAAUGCUUUGUUUUGAUUUUUUGAUAGUUUCAUCAAUAUGGGGAUUCCAUGACAGUUUUUCAUUUAUUAUAACACUAGGUAUUUUGCAUUUUUAGUUUGUGUUACUGGUUUACCAUGAAUAAGAUAAGUGGAGUUAAUUUGUUAUAUUUUUUUUUGUUACUCUUAAUAACUGACAUUUUUCUGGGUGGAAAGACAUGCUCCAAUUUGAUUCCCAUUUCUGUAAUUCAUCUAAUUCUCUUUGUAAAAUGUCUGUAUCUAAUGUUGUUUUUAUUGUUUUAUAUAUUAUGCAAUCAUCUGCAAAUAAUCUGACUUUUGUUCCUGAACUAAUGCAAUUUGGUAAAUCAUUUAUGUAAAUUAAAAAUAGUAGUGGACCUAAGACUGUUCCUUGAGGUACACCUGAGUUAACUGUUAUUGGUGUUGAUUUAGAGACAUUUAUUAUUACAGAUUGUUCUCUCCCUAUCAGAAAAUCUUUAAUCCACUGAUGCAAUGGACCAUCAAUGCUAAAAUAUUUUAAUUUUUUAAGCCAACUAUGGUGGUGAACUUUGUCAAAAGCCUUGGAAAAAUAUAGUAAGAUAGCAUCUAUUAGCUCACUAUCAUCUAAACCUUUUGAAAAAUCAUCAAUUAGUCCUAUUAGUUGUGUUUCACAUGAUCUAUAUUUCCUAAAGCCAUGUUGGUAUGGAGUAAUGACAUUAUGUUUGUCUAAGUGGUUUAUGAUGUUGCUACAUAUUAUGUGUUCCAGGAUUUUACAUGUGAUGCUGGUAAGUGAUACUGGUCUGUAGUUUCCUGGGUCAGAUUUUUCUCUUUUUUUAAAUUGGGGAGGUGACAUUAGCUUCUUUCCAGUCCCUUGGUACUCUGCCCUGGUUAACCCAUUAACCCCCAAAACUUUAUUAUUGGUGUACACAUAUUCAUUUUAGUGUUUAUCAGUCUCUAUUGGUCUAACUAAGUGUGACAGGUGGGGAAAUGUGACGUGUGUUUGGCGCGUUUAUUGUGUAGGGGAUGAUUAUUUUUAAAGCUAUCAUCUAUCUCUAAAUAAUACUAGGUCUAAUCAUCACUCUUGCACCUAAUAAGAGAGUAUGUCACUUUGUCCUCUGACUUAGCUGGUAUUCCUGAUGAUGUCGCAGCUGGCUGUGUCCUGGCUUGAGGUUCUGCAGCUGGAGAUGGCGCUCUAGCGGAUAGAGGGACGCCAGUGAUAUAGUUCUUGUGGAGUCUCAAUCCCCAAAAUCUAAUAUCUGUAGAGGGCACAGUAGGGCGGGUGGCCAGCUACCGUGGGCACAAGUGUACUGCGGGCAGAGCGGAUCUGCCUGGGCAGCGUAGUGAACAGGAUAUGUCCAGUGAGUUGCAGAGGGUUGGCGUAGCUAUGACAUCUCGCACAGAUCUGAAUCUAUAGGGACGUCGCACCUAAUAAGUUGACAGGUGGGCUGUCGAAUAGGCGGGCAAUGCCGAUAGCGCCAAGUAGUAGCAAGUGCAGUGCUGAAUAGCACUAAAUAAAUAGGCAGGUCAGUGAGCUAGUGCCGUGCUGAAUAGCAUCUUAUGCAUCUUAUCGAUGCCCUCAACUGAGGUGCAUUCGUCAGAUUGGUAAAAUUGCUUUUGAGCACAAAAGGGGAGAUGAUGACAAAUGGGAUUUGGAAUAAUAGAUGGCUGAUGGUAGCAAUAUAAAAAUGUACAUAAAAGGGAAAGUAAUAAUAUAAAAAUGUACAUAGAAGGGGAAAUAAUAAUUUCAAAUAAACAACACAGGUGGAUAGAAAAAGAAAAAGGGGGGGGGUUGAAUUGGGCAGUGGUCAGCGACCCUGACGGUAUGUUUACAUAUGACCGUCAUUCGAGAACAAUGGAGCGCGCUUGAAUGGAGAGGGUGUCCGUUCAAGCGGCGCAAAUCUCGUUAGAGUGAAAUGGCUACAGGGGAGAUAAUUCAUGUCUCCUUUCUAAGCGCAGUGUUAGUGCGAUAGUAAAAUUAUCAAGGCUGUCAACCGAGAUAAAGGAAAUAAAAUAAGGUGUACAAAUAUAUACAUGGUUGCAUCAAUGAUCAAUUGAGCAACGUAGCAUUAAUAGAUUAAUGCAAUACGUAAAAUAUACAUUAGCCAUGUUUAUGUUUUCUACUUACGACAGUGAGAAAUACACAAUGCACUAAUUAAAUAUAAAUGAAAUAAUAAACUACACAUGAUAAAAUCCAAUGGAAAUAUACACAGAGUAAUUAAGAUGGAACUUGUGAUUAAGUUCGGCUUACCACCAGGUAUUCCUCUAGGAGUAAAAUGUAUGAAGUAGUCCAGACUCGAUUGCUCAGCGAUAGAGAAAUAAGAGGGUCUGAUUUGAUUUGGAUCUACUUUAUAUACAGGCCUGGAGAAUGUGGGCGGACACAGGAAAUGUCCUAGGCUAAGAAUUAUCUUACACGUGGGUGAAUUAGACUUAAGAUGGGAUUCGCACAUUGGGAGGUCAAUGGGCGUGUUUGUCCUUGUGGUCUCCUAGAUCAAAGAGAGGCAUAGGAAAAAGGAAGGGGGGGAGGAGUGACUUGCAUUCCACACAAGGUGGUGUCCACUGCGGCUGUCAGACAUCCUGCCGAUAAGAUCAAAGAGUCUGUGUGUAUCUUUGCCCCGGUCAAGGGAAGAUAAAUGAUUGGACGAGCCUUAACUAUCUCCAAUGUGGUCAACUAAGUCUAGCCUGGAGCGGAAAAGGUGUGGCGGGUGAAUAAUUUAGGGGUAGGAUGGGGAAAUAAUUAAAAUAAAAUAAAUAAAUAAUGAAAAAUAAUAAUUAAUGCUGUGAUAAAUUUGAGUGACUCUGACAGCGAGUUUUUGACUUGUCACACUAAGACAUUGCAAAAAAACAUUUUAGAAAAAUUCCACCUAGUAUAGAUUUUACAAGACCUACACUGCCAGCAGUUACAUAGCAGGAAGUGGCCCCAUGAGGAAUAUUAUAUAACAUGUAACAUUUAAAAGCAAAAAUUAAUAAAAAUGUGUUCAUAAAAGUCACAUUUUAAAUUUUUAUUAACAAAAAUAUUAUGAAGAUUCAGUAGAAAAAAACAUAUUUUUUUAGAAAGUAAAUUUUUUUACAAACAAAACAAUGAAAAUAGAAUUAUUUACAUAGUAUGGCUAUGAAAAAGAUUAAAACAUUUCAAAUGUAAUCCAACAGGACACACUGAGCAUCCUUUAUUGCAAGUCUUUUUGCAAAUUGCACAUCGUUUGGUUGUACCUCAUUUCCAAUGGCACUCUUUUGCAAAUCACAGACUUUGAAGGAGUGGUACUUCUACUUUUUUGGCUGUCCCACUGCAGAAACCAAGAGUUCACAACAUAUCUUCUGAAAGCCAACAAGUCCAGAGGUUGUGAUGUGAACAACUCAGACUGACGAUAAAGUAGCCAAGCAUUUUGUAAGCAUAAAUGGAUUGGCCAGCCAAAAAAGGGCGACCACCACUUUUUGUUUCUGAUCUGUAUUUUGCUAUAUUUUGGUCAGCUCUAUCAACUCCUCCCAUAUUUUGAUUGUAGAGUGAAAUGAUGUUUGGUUAUGUAAUAACCUGAAUACAUUCUUUUUUCCUUUUUUGACCAUCGCUGGACAUUUUCAAUGGCAGGUCACCAGAAACAUUGGAAGCAAUAGAAACAACACUGUUGUCAUUCCACUGUAAAAUUAUUAAAUUGCUAUGUCUGUCCUCUUUCUUUUUUUUUUUUCAUUUCAGUCCUAGUGGACAUUGUUUAAGCCUGUUGGCUCUGAUAGUGCCUAUAGCUCCAAUUCCCUUUUCUGAUAAUCUGUCCAUCAGUGCUAGAGUUGUGAAAAAAUUACCAAAAUAUAGUUUGUAGGGUUCUGGAGGAAGGCAAGCCAGGGCCUAGCCCAAGUUCAUGUCUAUCAAUUGUUGCUGAGGCACCAACAUCAGGAUCAAACUGAGCCACAUAGCCUGAAGGGGUGGCUAAACUCCAUACUUUGUAGCCAAACCUUAUAGGUUUAUUUUUUAUAAAUUGCUUGGCAGAAUGUCUGCCGAAAUAUGGUACCAUGGUCUCAUCGAUGCUUAGAUUUUGAACUGAUUAGAAAUUUCUUAAGCACCUUUCAUUCAUAAGAUUUAAAUAUUGCCUCACUUUGCUUAGUUUGUCUGUUGAAUCUAGAUUGUUGUCUGAAAGAUAAAUGUAUCUCAAGAGUUCAUCGAAUCUUAUUCAGCUCAUAGCAUUAUAAACUGCCUUAAUACCACAAUCCUCACUGCGUUCCCAUUACAUCUCUCUUCUGGGAAAAAUAGAAUAGCCUGAGUAGCUAUGCUGCAAUAAUAAUAAUGCAGGCUUUAAUUUCGGAGGCACACGUUGAAAACUGGUGUUUUCCUUUCAUCUCUUUGGCAUACUUUUCAGUAUUUAAAACUAUAAAAUCUAACAUUUCUGAGUCAAAGAACUGUUUUUAAAAAUGCACCGUUGUGAGAUAAUCCACCUCAUGUUCUUCGUUGGUUCUAAUGCCAUCACACCACUGCUUUUGUUCAAUUCUAUCCACUGAAGAUUUAAUCCAUAGCCUCUUCUUUCUUUCGACUUUCCUUUUUCUCCUUGCAGAAGUUUGAGGCAUGUUUUGUUCAUCAUUACCAACGAUGUUAUCUGCAGCUCCAUCGUCAGAUGUCGUACCUAUAAAAAUAGAAUUAAAAAAAUAAUUUUUUAAAAGUAAUUAAAAAGUUAAAAAAAAAACAUUUAACUAUAAAAUAUAAAAAUGAAUCUAGUUGAAGUGUAUAGUUUUAUUAACUUACUUUGUAAACCAUGCAAGAUAAACUCUGCCUGACUAUUCAGUUGAGAAGGGCAAAAGUUAUCUGGUUGGCCACCAUCCUCAUCUCCACUGUCUUCGUCUGAAUUUUGGCCAUCGUCGGGAGGCAUAAUGAAUACAUCAGCAGAAAUAAAAUCAAGGUCCUCGUCCUCAAUCAUGCUGAUUACUUCAUGAGCUAUAAAGGCUCUUUUAGACCUAAAAAAAAUUAAUCUAGAUCAAUUAUUGUAAAUAAAUAUAUUAUAAAUUUGCAAAAUAAAUUGAUUAAAACCUUCUAGGCAUUAAGUAAAGAGCAAAUAAAUAUAUAAAUACAGAUAUAUACAUCUAUUUUUAUGUAGAUUUACAUUUGUAAUGCUAUGUUUUUAUUAUUGAAGUGGUGGUCUGAAUCGUACAGUGGCAUAUCCUGCUAUGUACACUCACAGUGUACGUAACAAAAAAAUUAAUUAAAAAAGUAAACAACAAAUAUUAAAUCUUUUUUUUUUUUUAUGAAAAUUGGAUAGUAAAUGUAAAUAAAUAAAGUUGUUUUGUUUGUUUUAAAUCAAAGAAAUGUGUAAAUACUUCCAUUUUCAAGAAGGUAAUUGUUUUUUCAAUAUUUUGCAAUAUGGUCACCUUGUGUUAAUAGCUAGAUGAUCAAAGACUCAACAAACCCUUUGAGUGAUGAACUAAAACGAAGGGUACUUGAAUAGUUAACAAGUUGCAUUCCUGGCUGCCUCCAUAUUGCAUGAAAUCAUAACAAACUAUAAAACUCAAGGGAGACUACUCUAACAAAUAAGCAUCAUUUUAAGCAUUAGACUUAAUGUUCUUAACUAACAUCCUCCUUUCUUUGUCAACACAAAGAUAAUAAAGAUACUGUCUGUAGUUCUACUUCAUGAAAUAGUUCUUUUGCCAAACAGGUUUCUUCCUUUCUCUUGUUGAUGCAGGUCUUCUAUUGUUGGUUGGUUCCGUGUGCGUAUGUGACGGGUUGAUUGGAUUGUCCAUUUGGUAUGUGGUUGAGUGAGGUUGGACAUCUGAUGGAAAGUUGUUUUCCUUUACAGGAGGGGUCAACAGGAUGGGGGUUUCAGUGUGUUGCGCUGGGACUGGAUCGACUGUCCUAAACUCUCUCCACCAAUCUUCAUCAUCGUUGUAGUUGUCUUGCCUUUCAAUGUUUCUAUUUUCCAUCUUUGUUGAUUGCUGUCGUCUUAUGUCUACUUGGUUUCGAAUGUACGUUCCGCCCUCCUCACUUCUAAUCUUAUAAGAUCUUGGAGUUUCUUGUCCAAUAAUCGUUCCGGGACGCGAAGUGACAAAAUGACAGCGGUAUUCUAACGACCUGAAUGUUAGAUUUCAACUGGAUACUGGAGCAGAUGUAAACAUCAUUUGCAAGAGAUUUGUCAGAAAAAGUCAAGUCAGAGAAACAUCCCAAACUCUUACUAUGUGGAAUCAGUCAAAAAUGAAGCCAGCGGUCAUGGCUGAUCUCAUCAUGACGAAUCCUUAAAAUGGCAAGCAAGAAAAGGUGAGAUUCACCAUUGUGGACAACGGGUUGCAAUGUUUAUUGGGUUUACAGACUUGCAAACGAUUGGGACUAAUAACUGUCAACAAGGAAAACGUCAUUGCACCUGUUCACAGUGAAGAAAGCGAUCUGGGAGAUUUAGGCGAGGCUCAUCUCACUGUAGACGAAACAGUGGCACCAGUGGUCUCUCAGUGUCGGAAGAUCCCCCAUACUAUGAGAGAAAAAGUCAAGCAAGAAAUCAAGCUUUUGGUGAGUCGGAAAAUACUUAUCCCUGUUGAUGAACCCACUGACUGGGUCAGUCCAAUGGCUGUGGUCAAAUGAUGUCUUGCAAAUAAUGUUUAUGUCUGCUCCAGUGUCAUGUUGAAAUCUAACAUUCAGGUUGUUAAUCAAGAAUACUGCUGUCAUUUUGUCACUUGGUGCAUUUAGGGUGUUUAGGUAUUCUUCAUUGUCACUCUCAGCGGGCUCUUGUAUCCUUACUGCGUUUAUGCACUUAGCUGCAAAGUGGUUUCUUUUUUUGCAUUUGGCACAAACUUGUCCCCAUGCUGGACAUUUCCUAUGUUCAUGGGUUCUCCCUCAAUACCGGCAGUCUGUAAUCAAGGUUUUGUUCUGGGUUCUUUAGAUCUUACUUUGUCAACAAGAAUGGGUGCUUCGGCAUUGUUUAGUUCGUUCAAGCUGUUGUUGGAUUGUUCGAAAGCUUGGCAAAUACCUAUGGUUUUCUUCAGUGUCAGUCCUGACACGGUAAUAAUCUUUCUUGAAUUUGUCUAUUUACUGAGAACACUAUUUUGUCUCUCAACAUUCCAUCUUUGUCUUUGAAAUUGCAUUUCUCUGCUUGUGUCCUCAGUUCUGUUAGGAGACUGUCGAAGGGGGAGCUUUCUUUUAGAUUCCAGAAUCUGAAGGUCUCCAACACCUCGUUGUUUCUGGGGUUUCAGUACUCUUCUAUUUUUUUUAAGUACUGUCCUAUGGUAGUUGGGUUCUUCAUCUUGCUUAUAAGUGAAGUGGUCGUGAAUCUCAAUAGCUCUUGGGCCAGCACAUUGUAGUAUAAUAGCCACUUGCUGUUCUUUUGGUUUUGUGUUGGCUCCAGAAGCCGCCAUGUAAACCUCCAUGAGCCGUUUCCAUUUUUCUGAAGUUUUCUGAGAUGUUGCCCUCAGUUAUAUUCAGGUCGGUUGGCGGUUUGAACAAACUCUCCGCCAUCUUUUGUUACCUUCGCUCUAGAUUUCGUAAAAGAUUCUAUUUCUAUUUUCUUCUUUAGUUAUUUUGUAAUACUUAUUCUUUGUUUCCCAACUGUGGGUUCUGCUACUUCGCUACCACCAUGUUAAUAGCUAGAUGAUCAAAGACUCAACAAACACUUUGAGUGAUGAACUAAAACGAAGGGUACUUUAAUAGUUAACAAGUUGCAUUCCUGGCUGCCUCCAUAUUGCAUGGAAUCAUAACAAACUAUAAAACUCAAGGGAGACUACUCCAACAAAUCAGCAUCAUUUUAAGCAUUAGUCUUAAUGUUCUUAACUAACUUAACUAACACUUUGAAAAGCGAUAAAAUAAUAAAAGACUGCAAGAAGUAAAAAGCAGUUUAAAAAUAAAAAACUCUCUUCAUUAAUUUAAUAUAAUCUUUUUAGAAACGUACACUCCCAGUGUACAAAGUAGGAUAUGGGUUAAGAGAUAUCUGAAAGAGUAUUUUGAACACCUGUGCUAGCUCAUUGCUUAGUUCUUUGAGUAAUCUAGCUGGAAUACCAUCAGGUCCAGAUGCUUUAUUCGGUUUGAUGUUAACUAAUAGUUUUUGGAUUCCCUUUUCUUGUACUUCUAUAUACAUCUCCUAUGUUGUCUACUUGGUUCAAAUUAAGUAAUAUGUCUUUGUCUCCUGGGGCUGAGAAUGCUGAUGCAAAGUAUUUAUUUAGGAUGUUAACAUUAGUUUCAUUAUCAUUAUGUGUUAUCUUCAACUUUUAAUGGCGCUAUGCCUGUUAUUUCCAUUUUCUUAGACUUAAUGAUAAUGUAUGACCAUAGGUUUUUGUUGUUAUGGUGUAUAUGUAUUCACUCUGCAGCUGUCUGCUUACUAUUUGGGAUAGGUGUUUAAUUUUUAUGUACUAUUUAUAAACUCUUUAUGCCUUAGUUUCUUUAAAUUUUCUAUAUAGGUUUUCCUUCUGUUUACAAAGCUUCUUUAAUCUAUUAUUAAACCAGCAUUUAUUUAUUUUGUUUGAUGUGUAUUUAGUUGGUAAAUGAUUUUCUAUAAUGUUUUUAAUGAAAUUCCAGAGGUCAUCGACUGGUUGGUUAAUGUCUUUUUCUGAUAAGAAUGUUUGUUGGAAGUUUAAUGCAGCUUGGUGUAGUUGUGUUAUGUUACAUUUAUUCCAGAGUAAUAUUUUCUUUUGGGUUUUGUAUUGGCUACUGCUUUUAUCUGACUGUGUAUUUUAAUGAUAUCAUGGUCUGAUAGACCAGGGAUAAUAUCAUAAUCUACUACUAAUUUAGGUCUGUUGGUUAAGAAGAGAUCUAAUGUGUUGUUUAUGUUUAAUCUAGUUGAUUUUUUAAUGAUUUGAUCUAAACUUAGGUUGUGUAAAGUUUCUAUGAAAAGUUCCUUUAUUUUUUCUUUAAUGUUUUGGUGUUUAUCUAUGGUUAGUGUUUUUUUGUCAGGAAAUAACAAUUUAUUUAAUAUCUAAUAAUUUGUAGACAUUUUCAAAACAAUAAAAAACAAUAGUGUUCAAGACAUUACAAUAAAAUAAUGUCUAAUAAUUUGUAGACAUUUUCAAAACGAUAAACCAUGAGUGGUCAAGAAAUUACAAUUCAUUUAAUAUCUAAUAAUUUGUAGACAUUUUCCAAAAAAGUUUUUAUAAUGUGUAAUUGUAUCCAAUAGUUUUUUUUUCAUUAAGUUCAUUAACAAAGGAGGUUACACAGUAACAUUAACAAUUUCACAGAAAAUUGACUUUGAAGCAAUGUUGUGUCCUGUGAUACUAGCGAGUAACUAGGCACGGCAAGUCAAUAUAGGGUUUUAUACAGCUUUCCUGUAUGUCUUAUUUGUUAAAAAAAAAGGCUGAUCAGAGAACAGGUUAUUCCUCUUGUGUCAAUUUUUUUCAAAGGUCUCCUUGAGCUGUAAGAGGGCUACUCCAGCAUCAUCAAGGUGGCCCUUGAGUCUGUUAGAGUCGUUUUGAAUUAAAACAUUUCACGCCAAUUUAUCUGUAUCACAAAUGUGCAGGGUUCUGUUAGAGUCGUAUGUAAAUUAUUUCAGGGGUAGGGGUGUUCCUUUCCAAAUUGUUAUCUCUCUCAUUACGAGAGGUUUGGAUUUCGUCCCUAAUCCUUACAUCAACUUUUAAAGCACAUGUCAAAAAAAAAAUAAAACAUUCUCCUACAACACAUUAUUAAUAAACAUUUAUAGUUACAUGUAUUUUCCCAGCUAUUUCAUAGAUCAUACAAUUUUAAUAUAGUUACUAAGUCCUUAAAUAUUAUAACAUUAUACAUAUAUAUAUAUAUGUAUAUAUUCUUUAGGAUUAUUAUGAUUUUGGUAGUUUUUGUUUAUAGUCUCUUCUCAGGCUCCAAAACGUUCAAUUUCGUCUUGUUCCUUUGUUUUCCAGUUAGGUUAGGAUGAGGCUGUCGCUAAGAUAUAGAAAUUGUCAUAGUGUUCUCAUUACGUUUCCACAAUUGUCAUGGUGUUCUCAUUAUGUUUCAACGGGCUUGCCGUGUUAUUUGAGUGUAUAACAGACACACUUGAUAUUGACUUGUGACUUGCUCUCCAAUAUUGUGAUCUAAGAGGACGUAAGAACAAGAGGAAAUAAUUCUGCAAAAGUGUUGACUUCCCUUUAAAAGACAGUUCUUGAGUAGUUUUCCAUAGAGAACUAUAAAGUUCCAUUUGAUUUCCAUCACGCAUCCCCCACCCCAAAACUCUCUUUAACACGGUUACAUACACACUCUCACACACUCGAAUAACCACUUAGACUAAUGACAAUAUGAAUGUCAGAGUAACUUUUAAGAUUAAUUACAAUAUUUAGAUUUUUUUUUCGUGGUCUGGCAAUUUAGUCAAGUACAUUAAAUUACACAAUAAUUACAAUUUCUAUCUAACCAGUAUCGUUAUCAAUUUUAUAUUCAAUUAUUUUUCUAAAUAUUAACUCAAAAUUGUAAGGAUUAUACCUGACACAUAACAGACUUCUUUCAAUGAUUGGAAGAGACGCCAGAGAUGAAUUAACAGCAGAAUAUAACUUCAAUAUAAGUAAAUCAGGAUUACUGUAGUUGUAGACAACGCAUCAAGUGUUAACUAGUAAAUAUAUGCAUAAUUAUGCAAACUGACUUCUAUAUUAUUUAUACUAUACGAAUAGACUCCAAAGCUCAGGCCUCUGGCCACAAUAAUCAAACUCCAAGCGCUGUUACUCUGUCCCAACCAAUGGACCAAUGAAAUUAUAAUAAAUAAACAUAGAAUUCCUUAAAUCCUACACCCAAGAUUCUCUCAAGUGUUGUUUACAAUAUUAUAUACAAAUAUAGUCACCACUUUCCCCUCUUACCAAAAUAAUCUAUUAAUAAACCUUAUUAAUAGCGUACAAAGUUACUAGCUUAGAUUUUGUACAAUAGUAGAUUCAGUAUCAGGUAAAGGAGUAGUGCAAAAAAAUACGUAGGUCAAACACUACCAUCAAUGGGAUUAAUGCAUAAAGGGAAAUUAAGAAACUGAACAACUAACGUCAUUCUCGAUAUCGCUGACUUUGCAGGCUUUAGGCCAGUGAAAUAUGUCUUGAUACAGUUCUUGUAGGUUCCAACCUCUAUGAAGCUCAAUAACUGAUGUUGGUCGUAAUAGUCUCACAAUUUCUGCAACCUUGAUAGAUUGUCCAUGAUGACGUUAUCUACCCUUGCCGUGUGUUUCACGUCCAAUUGGAAGUCAGACAGUUUUAAUGCCCAACGGGCCAUUCUUCCACUGUUUAGUUUACGAUCGUUCAGCGCCUUAAGAGGUGCAUGGUCAGUUUGGAAAAUGAACGGCUUGCUUAAUUUAGAGGUGGCCAAGAUGAUGGAUUGGCAUUCUCUUUCUAGAACUGCAUAUCGUUGCUCUGUGUCCAUCAGCUUACAGCUGAUGUAACAUAUGGGAUGGAGAUUGCCUUCUAGUUCUUGCAGUAAGCACGCUCCAAUCCCCGUAGACGACGCAUCUGUUGCUAACGUAAAUAUCUUAGACAAGUCUGGUAAUUGUAAGAUAGGUUCAGAUCGAAAUACUUGUUUUAUUGCUUGCACAGCUUGCUUGCAAUGUUGGUCCCACUCAAUUCUCCUCUGAGUGUUAUUCUGCCUAAGUUCUGUUUUAACAUUCUUAUGUUUUGUCAAAUCCGUCAAGGGUGUAAUCAUUUCUGCAGUUAGGAAUGUAUUUCCUGUAGAAGUUAACCUGACCAAUUAAUCUCUUAAUGUCCUUUACGUUCUUUGCAGUCUCAAUUCCUAGGAUUCGUUGUACGGUGUUUUCCCUUGGUUUUAACUGUCCAUAUCUUAUGUCAUGACCUAGAAAUUCAAUUGUAUCUGUAGCAAGUUCUAGCUUACUUGGUCGAGCAGUUAGACCAUGCCGUUGAAGGGUGCUCAAGAUUGACUCUAAAGCUUCCACAUGUUCUUGCCAGUUCUCAGUGUACACACAUAUAUCAUCCAUAUAUGCGAUCACGUUUUUAUGCCCUGCCAAAACUAUUCUCAUAAGUCUGUUGAAUGUUGCAGGAGCAUUCACCAGACUGAAUGGCAUAUCCUUCCAUUGAUAGAGUCCAAAUGGAGUAGAAAAUGCAGUUAGAUGGCGUGCACUUUCAGCUACUGGAAUCUGAUAGUAACCUUUUGCAAGGUCUAGCUUACUAAAUAUUUUGGCAUUAGCUAAAGUAUCAAACAAGUCCUCUGUAUUGGGCAUGAGUUCUGUGUCUAAAACUGUAAUGCUGUUUAAUUGACAAUAGUCUAUGCACAUUCAGGUUUCUCCAUUUUUCUUCAUUACUACUGGAGCUGCUAAUGGGGAUUUUGAUCUUUCGAUAUUUCUUUUCCUCGUGUCUCUUAUCUUCUUGCUCAUCAAUAUUCUUUCCUUUACUCUCUUUUCCAAUUGCAGUGAUUCUGACCUUCGAUUCUUCAUCAUCUAUUUUUAUUUUGCCUGCUACUUGUUCCUCUUCUAGUUUCCAUUUAAAUAUCAUCUCUACUUCCUUCAUUGCUAUCUUUCGUUCUUCUAACUUCGCUCUUUCUUUUCUUUUUUCCUCUUCUACUUUCGCCCUUUCUCUCCUCUCUUCCAUUCUAGUAUCUCUCUCCUCGUUCUGUCUUAUGAUUUUAGCAACCCACUCGUCUAACUCUUCUCUCUGAUAGCCCAGACUUUUCCCCGUUUCAUAUAGUUUUAAUAAGUUGUUGUAUGCUCUUUCUGCCAUCUUAUGGAUGUAGGUUUGUUCUUAUAAUUUAUGAGAAGAGCCUUAGUCCCUGAAUUAAUUAGUUUCAAUUUUGCCAGCAGUAGAGCUUCUAGCCAGAAGAUAAUAGAUAACAAAUCUCCUAGUUCAUGUCAAAGGUUUGACACGUCAGUAGUACUAUAAGAAUUAAAUAGUUCACCUGUCAAAUUUUUGACACGCUUGCUGCUCCACCAUUGUUGUAAACUCCUUACUUGGAUUUACCUGACACAUAACAGACUUCUUUCAAUGAUUGGAAGAGACGCCAGAGAUGAAUUAACAGCAGAAUAUAACUUUAAUAUAAGUAAAUCAGGAUAACUGUAGUUGUAAACAACGCAUCAAGUGUUAACUAGUAAAUAUAUGCAUAAUUAUGCAAACUGACUUCUAAUUAUUUAUACUAUACGAAUAGACUCCAAAGCUCAGGCCUCUGGCCACAAUAAUCAAACUCCAAGCGCUGUUACUCUGUCCCAACCAAUGGACCAAUGAAAUUAUAAUAAAUAAACAUAGAAUUCCUUAAAUCCUACACCCAAGAUUCUCUCAAGUGUUGUUUACAAUCUUAUGUACAAACAUAGUCACCACAGAUACAUUGUUAUUAACAACUCAACUUCUGUAUUCAGACACUAUUUUUAGGUUAAAAUUAUGAAUAGUCUUACUUGUGAUUUUAGGUAAUGUAUUUAAAACAAUAGCUAGGUUAAGAUUAACAUUGGUGUUACAGUUUGCCUCUAGUAGGUCUUUCAUAGUGCACCUAACAUUAUCAAAUAUUUUACAUUUUAAAAACAAAUGGCUUUCAUUGUUACCAUUAUAUGUGUGACAUAAAACACGUGUUUACCUUUCUUUUCUUACUUCCUACAGGGGUCAUGCCAAAGAUUAGUCUGUAUGUUAUUUCUCUAGCUUUGGGUGUAAUGUGUUUGCUGUGUAGAUUUAUGAAAGUGUCUCUGAAAUCUAGUACUACUCACUCUGUACUCCAUUUGAUCCUAUUGAAUAAUCUUUCUUGUAACUGUUGAGUGUUGUGUGUCUUUUUAAUUUACUGUGUAUUAGAUGUUCAUUGCCAGGGAGUAUUCUUGAUAUGGAUCUGUAAAAUGGAUGUGUGUUUGUACCAAAGUAGUGUGGGAUGUCAUUUUUUAUUGGAAUUAUUCUACCUAACCUUAAGCCGUAAUAGUAUAAAGUUAAUGGGAAAUUGUUUGGAUUCUUGGCUACUUGUCUUAUAUAUUUUAAUCUAAGUGCUUGUAUUUUUGUUCUUAGGUCUUGUAAGUUUAUACCUACAUCCUCUUUGUUCUGUAUAAGUUUUUGUGUUUAAUGCUUCUAAUAGUGUUUUUGAAAAUAAAACUCCUAAUGAUUGUGUUUAUGCUUCGUGUAAAAGUUGGUGGUGGUUCUGUGAUAUUCACUAAAUAAACUAUCUUCAGGAUGACCUGGUUGUCCACCAAUAUUGCUCUACCAAAUAUGGUAGUUGCUGCAUAAUGAAAUCUUUUGAGCGUGUUUUUGGGUCUCUUUAAAAUAUUUUCCCACUGUUGUGUGUGGUAAUAUGUUGGGUUGCUGGUAAACGUGAUGCCGCAUAUUUUAAUUUCCUUCUUUAUUCUAAGGUUAAAGGGGAUGUUUGAGGGGAUUUUCCACCUGCCUAAUACCAUAAUACAAGAUUUAUUAAUGUUGAUUUUUUGACCCGCUUGCCCUCCCAAAUCGAAUAAACUUAUCUAUGAUUGUUGCUAUGUCUUUUUCUGAGUAGGGAACAAGGUGGUGUCCUCAGCGUAUGCUUUAACUUUAACUACGCGUGUGGGGCCUGGGAUUCUAAUUCCUUUGAUUCCACUAUCUAGCCUAAUGGUUUCUAAAAGGGGUUCUAGGCAAAGGGACACCCUUGUCUAAAAGAUUUUCUAAUAGGCUCCAAAGAUUUCUUCUAUCUUUGUUUUGUGUAUAGUUCACCAGUGAAGGGUGACCCUGAGUUUUUCAUCCUCCAAGGUAGAGACUUCUACCUUAAGGUCCUUCUCAGUCCGAAAUGAUUUUCCUAGCAUAUGGGUUCUCACCCGGGUGGAUGUUGGGACCAAGAACCAGACAAAGGAGUUCUCGAAACGGUAGAGAACCCACUUCAUCAGGUAAAUACUGCCUAUUAUUAGGGAUGUUGAGGUGGUGUUGAUUUUACAAAAUGUUGAUUCUAUAUUUUUUGAGUUAGGUAAGGUAAUUUCUUCUGCUAUAAAACUGUUUUUUAUUGCUAAAAGAACUCCUCCAUGAUUAUCUGCCCUAUCUUUUCUAAAAAUUUCAUUAUCACUAUUGAAAAUUUCUGCAUUAUAAAUUUCAGGAUGUAGCCAAGUUUCUGUUCCUGCAAUUAUGUCUAGUUUCUCAAGUUCUAAUAAAAUUUCUAUGUCUGCUGUUUUAUUCCUCAUGCUUUGAAAAUUAAUUACUAAGGUUUUAAGGUAUUUUGGUAUUACUUCUUUAGUAAGUUUAUUUAAUGAUGGUGUUUUAUCAGUUUUAAUAGAUUUAACUGGAGUGGAUCUGGCUAGUGGUUGGUGAGUUUGGUUUGGGAUGGUGUUUAGGAUGUUGUAUGGGUUAGAAGUGUCUGCAUCAAAGGAGUCAAACAGUUCUGAUGUAAAGUGAGGUAACUCACACAGUACACAGUGCCAUGAUGCGUCUUUGUUGUCUAAUGCAUAAUACACAAGUGAUUUCAUAUGGAGACAUGAUGUGUGGUACCAUUCAUCACAGGUGUCACAUUGAAUGGCUUUCUGUUUCAUGGUGCAUACUUUUUUACAGAUGUUGCAUCUAUCUUGAGAUCUAGGUCCUGGGUUUGAUUCUACAUCUCCUGCUAUUAAUAUUAAGUGUCAUAGGUAUUUAUUUUGUCUAUAUUUAAUUGAGAACUUCCAUUUGUGAUGGGUAAUCUUCUUUAAUGUUAUGGAUGUGUAUGUUAGAUUAUUUUUGAAGUUGCAUUAUCUAUAGUGUGAUGAUUGGUAAUGACUGUUUCCUUCUUAAGUUUAGAGUUGACUGAUCUAGAUCUGUGUUCACUUAGAGUGUAUUUAGUAAUUAUCAGAAUAAAUAGCCAGAGCAAUUUCUAGUCUAAACCUAAUUUAAAGUUUUACAAUGCUUAAAGCUAAAGUGAAAGCUAGUUUACAAUGGUUUAUUGAUUAGUAUUCUAAGUCUAGCUAGAUCUAGAUCUAAUUUGGUAAUUAAAUCUAUUGUAAGUCUCUUAAAAUUUUAGAUGUAGAAUAAAACUAUUUAUCUUCCUAUCUGACUAUCUUAGUAACUAAUAUGCCUAAGCUAGAAGUAUAUUUUAUAGAUCUAAUAACUAUGUCUAAAACUAUAUUAUAUGCUUUGAAUUUAUUAUUAUUGUAAAAAAAUUAAACUGUAUCCAAGUAUCUCCUGAAAAAAACAUAACACUGUCAAACUUGAUCAAUAUUUGGACUUGAUCAGUAUUUAGACUUUUAGUAAUCCUUUUAGGCAUAGUCUCAUUCCAAAAAAAAAAAGUAUGAAAAUAACAAUUAUAAAACUUGAAACUACAAAUACAUUUUGUAUACAAAAUCAACAUAUUUACAAGUACUGUUUACACCAAAUUAAACAUUAAUUUUGGUGUGCCUUAUUUCAAACCAGUGUUUUGGAUGGAUAUGAGGAUGACCUUCACAGCCUUUACCAAUAAAGUUGUAGUGUUUCCCUUGUUUAGGUGUGCUGCAUAAGUGACAUCUGUCUGUUCCUGUGUAAACAAUAGAGUGUUUGGCUUCUUCUUUGGGUUCAAUGGGAUUAACCAAUCUAGGACGUUCAGGUUUUGCUUAAAUUAUUCUGGUUACAUCAGUCAUGAUUGCGGUAGCUUCGCAGCAUAGUUUGUUGAUGACUCGUUUCUUGAAGCCUUUUAGAGUCAUCUCAUGUUUCUUCAUUGUUAGUAUGUAGGCAGUUACUGUGUUUCUCUAUAAAGACAGUAAAAAAAUAUUUUUCCACCAAAAUUUUUUGUUUUUCGAGCAUGAAUGCUUCAAAUAGCCAAUCAUCUGAUCUGCAUCAUCACAUCAAUUCAUGUUGUAAUUGUAAGCAUGGAUGGUUCCAGGUUUAUGUUUGCCCUUUGCACUGUGACAUCCUCUGCACUCGUUGAAGCAAGGAUAACUGGCUUUUUUUGUCCUUCCAGAUAAGACACAAGAUUUUAUCCUGGAGCAUCCAGUAUUUGCAUGUGCUGGAGCACUAAGGUUUUCAGAGCUUUGUUAAAGCCAAAACUUUUGCACUGUCCCUGUAUAAUAUUGUCCUUGACCCAGAAGAUGGUCAAUCUAAUCCUUUGUGUACCAUCUACCUGCGCAUACAUGGUAACCUUUACCCAGAUGAUUCUGGAGGGUGUCAAUAAUUUUGAUUGCCAUUCCACCAUCUGGAUCAGCUUUGGGGUUGUAUGACGUAUUAGCCCCAUAGUAAGUAAGGACGAUUCAAUAUAUAACCAGUGCCACUGUCUACUAGGCCAAAACUUUUGAUAUGGUACUUGUAUGGUUUAGUUGCAUUGUAUAUUUUGUACCUCCACCUUACCUUCCAUCCAAUAAUCAUCUCAUCUAUAUAGACAGACUGAUUUGGCAUGAAUGCAUAUUGAAAUCUUUCAGUAAGGCUAUUCACAAAUGGUUCAAUUUUGUUUUUGUUUUCUCCUCUGGCUCUCCCACAUAAGCAUUGAAGAGUAAAUUGUUUCAGAUCUCUCUCCCUUUGAAAUAUCUUGUGAUAAAAAGUGUUGGAAAAAAGAAGUUUUUUGUCAUGGUCGAAACACUUUUGGUAUGUGUAAUAUCCUGGUUCUAUGCCAAGGUAUUCCAAAAAUGUAAUGAUUGAUAUUGAUCCAUCAUUCAAAUAAAUGACACUAAACUUUUCCUCUUCUAUAGUUUUUUCUCUACAUAAAUCUUUCCAAAAUCAAUUUAUUUAAAUUUUCAUUUCUGUUGUGUGUCUUGCCAUGAAUGCAACAGCUCUUCAUUUGCCAGAUCUUCAAAAACAGAUUCCUAAUAUGUUAUUACAGCUUCAGGGAGACCAUUUUUAUGUUUGUAAGACUUUGGGUCAAGUUUGUUGUCAGGGCAGUAAUCACGUGUUGGUAUUUUUUCAGGUGAUCCAAUAUGAAAAAGGACAGCUUUGACAUUUGCUUUCAUCUGAGCUAAAUCACCACUAUUCUGACGGACAGCAAAUCCAAAGUAAUUUUGUGUGUCUAUUUUUUUUUUCUGGUUAAUCUGCCUGACCACUAAUGCCCUUGCCAUCGUCAAGCUUUUGUCCUUUAUUUUCAUUUACUAGCUGCCUCAGUCUUGUCCCGCAUUUUUUCUGGUCGUGGCCUACGCAUUCCAGUUUUUCUAUAGGCUUCUCUCCAUAUGGCUUAGAAUUAACUACUUUUUUGUAUGAGGAAGAAUCUCCAUCACCUAAAUAAUAAGUGUAUCGGAAUUUUCUGGUUUCUACAGAGCACAUAAAAAUGUUGACUACAAACGCAGCUUCAGUUCCAGCACUACCUGCAUGGUUAAUUUUACAAUUAUGUUGUAAUCUCCAGGAUAUCAUAUUCCACUGUUCCCUUUCUUUUUCCCAAAUUGACAUGCCUAACAAAUAUUGGAAAGAAUAUAUGUUUCAAUACACUUUCCAUUUUCAACAGAAAUGCCACUACCACUCCAUGAUGACUAGAAUGACCUCUGCACUACCAUGUCCCAUCAACGGAAACAUAACAGUCAACUACAUUAUCUUCAGAAUUUUCAGAUUUCUCCCUUGACUCUGUUACAGCUUUCUCCAUACUUUCCAUGGCUACCUUUUUACUAGCUUCAGCAACGUUUGUAAAGAUUUUUUAAUAAUUAUUUCUGGUCAUUGGUGGAGAGCUGUUAAAAUAUAAAGUAAACAUUUCAAGUGCAUUAUAUUCUCUUCCAAUGGCUCUUGCAAAUGAUACCAUUCUUAAAUUAAUUUCUUUGUGGCCACAAUCCUCUCUGCUUGUUUUGAAUCUUGUCUCCCAUUCAUUGCAAUUACUGCAUCUCAAUAUUAUUUUAUGAGCGAAACCAUUCUCUUUCGUUAUCAAGCUCUACAGAUAUAGUGAACUGAGGGUGCACAUCACAUGCAAAAGUAGCAGAUAGAAAAAUUAUAUAGAAUAUUUGUAUUCAUUAGAAUAAAUGAAUUAAUAUUGUUUAGGUUCCUUUCUUCUGGUUGAAUAUUACUUUGCUGCAUUGUCUUGUAUAGAUUUAUAGUUCAUGGUGAUGAUGUCACUGAAAAAAAAAAAAAUAAUGACUUUAGGACAUUAUAUACUUCUUUACCUCCUGUCAGCUCAGUCAAUUAAUCAGUUGACAAUGACCAGGUAUGUCUGUUGGCACAGUAAAGAACCAAAAAUAAAAAUUCAUGGGAUACCAGGAAAAACAACAGUUGUCUUAUAAUAAAAUGAAAAAUUAUUUGACCUGUUUUUACAUUCAAUGUGUAGGGUGUGCCUGUUUUUUUGUAGAGUAAAUGCUAUCUAAUAGAGGUUCUAAAGUCGACAAACAAACUUGCAUUUCAUCGUCUAUUGUAAGAAGUGUACAUAAUUUCAGGCAUGAUUUCUUUAUUUGAAGCCUAUUCAUUGUAAGAAGGAAAGCAGUUGAAGACUCCCUUUGAGGUCUUACUUUGCCACAACGACAAUUUUUCACCAUAUGACUUCUUGAGGAUGCAGUGAUGAUGUUGUUGAAGACUAAAAUUCAAUGAAUUUAAUUUGUCAAAUAUAUCAGAAAUGUCACCUUAACCCACCAGAUCUCGUCAUGAAUAUAAAAUCCAAAGUCUUUUUUUUUCAGCCUCCAAGAAUGAAAUCAGCUCAGCUUUAAGUUGGACGACAUGCUUUUGUAUGUUCACUAAUCAUUCUUUCAAUACUUCCAACCGUUUUGUGGAACCUGAGAAAAAUGCCUACACAUUUUGGAGAAGCAAGAAAUAGAUCAAUGCUCUCCUUGCUGCAGUUAGCAGGGUGAAUAUGACCUAUUGAUCCUCUAUUUCAUCAGGCUGUUUCUGAUUAUAAGCCACCUUUAAAAUUGUGUUUUGUUCUUCUAAUAAAACUACCUAUUCUACCCUCUCUAUCAGGUCUGGUAGACUAAACCUUCUUACUGUACCCACAGGCUGUGAGACCAUAGUGCUUUAACACUUCCCUCAAAUCGCUCUCCAAGACAUCAAUAAUUAGUUCCCAUUCACUUAUGUCUCCCUUCCCAAUCAAAUGACUUGACCUUACAAUAUAUGUCUGAGGUAACUAAACAAAUAAUCCUUUUCAGUUCUAAACAACUUUGGAAAAUAAAAUAUGCUGAUCUGUUGUCAACAAAUCACAUUUCCCUCCAAGAAAGCUAUUAUCUUUCUAACUCUAAUAGAAAAAAUAUAGGUCAAAUUGCAAAAAUAUAUAUUCUUUAUUUGAAGUUCUGAAAGGGUUAAAAAAUGAUUACCUGGACAUCUUGAAUAUCCAAAACCUUGUUGAUUUGAUACGCCUAGUAUCACAUUUGUCAUUAUGCCCUGGGGAAUCCUUGUCCCCAUAUCCUACUAACUUAAGUUAGUUAAGUUGAUCUUUGAUUUCUGUUUGUUCAAUGGAAAAAGAUUGUUUCCACUGUGAAAUGCAAAUAAUAAUCAAAUAAUCAGAAUGUAGAUAUGUAUAUCUUGGCUAUAUUUAGAGCAUCCGAAAAGUGCAUCGUUUGAGAUGCUAAGUAAUCUGUGAAACACACCGCAGCUGACCACAAUAAAUGCCCAUGUGUUUAAGUUGACCUGCACACAGAACAUGUGAAACACACCGCAGUUGACCACAAUAAAUGCCCAUGUGUUUAAGUUGACCUGCACACAGAACAUGUGAAACACACCGCAGUUGACCACAAUAAAUGCCCAUGUGUUUAAGUUGACCUGCACACACAGAACAGACUUGGGAAAUAGUUCAACAUGUUUCCAUUUUCUUUUAAAUUGCAUUUACAUUUGCAUGAGCAGCAGAUAGGCAAGUGGAGACUAAAUAGUGCACUUCACCUAGGCAAGUGGAGACUAAAUAGUGCACUUCACCUAGGCAAGUGGAGACUAAAUAGUGCACUUCACCUAGGCAAGUGGAGACUAAAUAGUGCACUUCACCUAGGCAAGUUGAGACUAAAUAGUGCACUUCACCUAGGCAAGUUGAGACUAAAUAGUGCAUUUCACUUAGGCAAGUUGAGACUAAAUAGUUGUUUACUUCACCUAGGCAAGUUGAGACUAAAUAGUGCACUUCACCUAGGCAAGUUGAGACUAAAUAGUUGUUUACUUCACCUAGGCAAGUUGAGACUAAAUAGUGCACUUCACCUAGGCAAGUUGAGACUAAAUAGUGCACUUCACCUAGGCAAGUUGAGACUAAAUAGUGCACUUCACCUAGGCAAGUUGAGACUAAAUAGUUGUUUACUUCACCCUGAGAAAAAAAAAGAAGGGGGUGGGGGUACUAGAUCUGCUUGUGGGUGCAUCAUACGGUGUAUGUACUGUAAUUUUAAAAUAGUAGUUUCAAAUCAAAAGUUUAAAAAAAUCUCAUUGGUAAUAAAUAUCCUGUUUGAAAUCUCUCUUUAAAUUCCAUAAUCAAUGAAUUCAACUAGAUUUUGUACUUUUCAUGUGAUAACAACCCAUUGCACUUAAGUUUGACAUUCAAUUUGUCCAUAAUAUCAAUGGCAAACAAGAAAUGUGUCUAUUUUCAUUAACAGUAUUUGUAACAAUCUGAAUCUUCAUCUCCCUUGAGAUCUCUCACUUGUUUCAAUAUCUUGCCCAAAUUAAUUGGUGCAGUACAUCAGCAUCUCAGUUUCAAUAACUUCAAGUAGUUUUCUGAACUGACUUUGGUUAAUACCCCCUAGUCCUACAAGGUUGAUCACUGUGACAAUAGGCUUAAUAACAUGCUUGAUCUUCAAUGCUGCACAAAGUUUCCUGAUGAGUUAAAAGUGUAUGAUCAGGAUAUUACUCUGCUGUUUCAUUAACUGUUUUUUCCAGUAAAAACUACAGGCUCCAUAAGUUGUUAAACUUGUUUCAUGCCAUACCAACUCUUUACAUCACAGCAUUGAAUGAAUUUUGGCCUGAUUCAAGUCUUUGAGUGAUUCAUCACUUUUCUGUGAGCUGAAAUUUAGUAUCUAUUCCCUAAAUGAAUUUCAAUAAUUCUACUUGGUUCUUUUGUCUAAUUGGAGUACCACACAAAAAUCCUUGCUUGCAUCGUGAAGUUAGUGCAUCAAAUCAUCAGCUAUUUUUCCAACACACCUACCUACGGUUUUUCUUUAACAAUAAUGCUAUAAUUUUUUUUUUAAUGUCCAGGAUACAUAAUUUUGGCUGCAUUUGACACAUACUCCUUUAUUAAAUUGAGUUGUUUUUGUUUUGUAUACACAACUUUGAAACAAAGUGAAGACAACUCUCAGAUGAGCAAAGUCUUAUCAAUGUUUCUGUGAAUUAGAAUCAUUGUCAUUUACUUCUAAUUUUUCAGAAUAUUAUAUAUUAUUUAUAUAUAAAUAAUAUAUUAUUUGGCCUUUUCAUCAUCAGAAUUGAAAUUACAAAAAAUUGUUGAUAUUCAAAUGGUAUAUAUAUAUAUGUAUAUUUAUUUGUUUAUAUUUAGCAAAAACAUGUAUGUAUAUUUAUUUGUUUAUAUUUAGCAAAAACAUGUAUGUAUAUUUAUUUGUUUAUAUUUAGCAAAAACAUGUAUGUAUAUUUAUUUGUUUAAUAGUUUCUUUGAAAUUUUAAACCUAAAAUGUUAUCACUUUGGAUUUCACUUAAACCUAACCCAAACUACUACAUACAAAAGUUUGGACAAAAAAGUUUACAUUUGAUUUCAUUGAUCAUAUGACCUCCACAGUGAACUUGUUACACUGACUCACAACUAAGUUUCUUUUGUUAUCUGUACAUUGAUCUUUUUGUGAUGGAUAUUUAAAAUGUUCUGUACAUUGAUCUUAUUGUAAUGGAUAUUUAAAAUGUUCUGUACAUUGAUCUUACUGUGAUGGAUAUUUUAAAUGUUUUUUUUUUGUAAUAAAUAUAUUUUACAAAUA